UCCUAUAAAAAGGCAGAUUUAUAGAGGCUGUGUUUUCAUAGAAGGGAUUUGUUAAGUACUAGAAACGCAGCCUGCCUGCUGCAGGGUGAAAAAAAAAAUAGGCGAUUGAAAUGUGUCUAUUUGUGUUUGCGUUGUGUUAGUCUAAGAGAGCGGUUUUGACAAAUUCCAAACUUUAAUUUCUGAUUCUGAAAACACAUUUCCUUGAGUGUGUGGAGGCUGACAGACAAGGGAGAGCAAUGGGAACGUUCAUUUAAAUGAUUAUCACCAGUCUUACAAAUAUGAUAAAUAUACUUGGGUGACAGUGUAUCAGAAGACAUUAAACAUAGAAGAGUAUCCAAGAAAGCUAUCACGGCUGACCUCCUUCAUACUGUAAUAUUGGCUCGUCAUCAGAAAACAUUUAAUGAGUUGGACUGAUUACAGAACAUAAGCACAGAUAUGUCAGAACUGAACAGAAGAUGGCGCUCUAGCUUCUACGAUGGGAGUAAAUACACAUAUUGCUUCAUACAUAAAUCUUCCUCUAUGAUUACAAGACUGUAUACCACAUAUAAAACCUUAAUUGGUAAAAUAAAAUAAAAAAAGAAAUGUAAACUAUAGAUUUCAUUUAAAACAAUACUGGUAUUUAAACAAUACUGGUUACUGUCUAUAUUUUAUAAGAAUACAAAAUGUUUAUAUGUGUUAAAAAUGUAGAUCUAUUUUAAAAAUAUUUGUUUCAAUUUUUUUUUUGAAUUUAUUUUAUUUAAGAUUUUAUUAUCAGGAGUUACUUGGGUUUCAGGGCAUGUUAGGAUGUUAGAACAAUGCUAAAAGCCAGCUAUUAGUCUAAAGUUUAGGACUGCCUUCCAGAAAUGUAGUCUGAUGAUGAUUGGCAAUAAUAGUAGUAAUAAUAAUAAGAAAAAGAAAAAGAAGAAUUAAAACUGUGAAUCAAUUUGUUUUAAUCUGAUAUUUUAUUAUAAGGAUGU